CUGCCUCUUGAUUCUGCAUGACCUGCUAAUAUUAGAUAACCAAUGAGCAUACAAACUUUAGCAUAGAUCAUUAGCAGAAAUUGCAACUUGGAGAAAAUUCAGGACUACUAACCCCCCAAUCCCUAGCAAUUUUUUUUCCCGGCUUUUCAUAUUAAUCAAUAAGCAUAUAUGGUUAGAUGGUUGUCCACAGAAUAUAUGCAAAUGCAAAAAGACUUUGAAAAUCCAACGAUAGACAGCUUCAAACUGGAACAAAGAAUAUGAAGGCUCAUAUUACUUUUAAAUUAUGCAUGGACAUGAUUAAUUCGAGAUAUCAUCAAGAAUAUCCUUCUAACAUUUAUUUACAUUCUCCACUCUAAAUCAUUGUGGUCUCUGCUGUGAAGAUGCAAGUCCCAAAAACAUUCCAAUGAAUUAGUACAAAUAGUGCUCCUUAAAGAAUCUGUCCUACUAUUAUUAUAAGUAUGCACAGGCCAGAGUAAAAUAACAGCAUAGAAUAUAAUUAUAUACCAUUGGUUUUAUUGGGCAGUGGAAAAACCAUUGAUAGGGAUGUUAACAGCAUUAUAAUCACUGUGAUCUCACCCACUAGAUCAUGAUAUGGACUGGAAGAGUAGCAACUAUAAUGAAUGCGAGAAGAAAUUCUGUGAAAGGAAAUUCUAGCUUUUGAAGGACUUGCACCCUCUACUUGAAUAUCCUUUCCACAAGACUACUAAUCUAAAGCUUAAGUAACUGACAUGGAUCAUACUCUCAUGUAACUAUCGAUGAUAAGUUCACUGAGGAACAACUUUGAACACUCAUGCAGUGUUUGCUUGAUGAACAAGAAAGACUUAACUUUGUAGCACGUCAUUUUCCUAAUAGCCUGGUCAAUGUGGCCAUCAAUGGAAAAUUAGAAGUCAACUUUCCUAACAAAACCACUGGCUGUAUGGUCCAAGAAUGAGGGACAAAAGAUUCAAAGGCAACAUCUCUCAAAUAAUGGCUCCUUAAGCUGACUCUGGAAAAUAUCAAUGUACUGUUUUUCAACCUCAAGCUUGUAAAAGUGAGUUGCAACAUAUGAUAUGGAUUUAACAGUAGCUUGACCAGAAUCCUAAUUUCUGAAUCACUUCUUGUAACAGUCCAUUCGUAUAAUACUUGGUAACUGACUUAUAUCAUAUUCACAAAAAAACUGUCAGAUGACAAGUUUGUCAAGAGGAAAAACUUUGAAUACACAUGUGGAAUUUGAUCAAUAAAGAAGAAUGCCUAGUUCAACCUUGUAACACUUAUCAUAUCCUCCACAACUAUCGCUUUACCAGCAGAUGCAUGUGUGAUCCAAGAAUUCAGGGAAAAAAGAUUGUAGGUCAGCAUCCCACAAAUAAGUGCCUCCUUAACUUUACUAUGGAGAAUAUCAACACUUUUCUACCUUAAACUGUAACGAUGAGUCAUGGUAUGUGAUAUGGCAAAAUCCUAACAUGUUUACUUUUUCUCUCAACACUUCAUUGUUAUGAUAUAUGAAUAACUGAUUCAGUUUGUAUAUAUGGCUAAUGCUACUCGAGUAUUUUUCAGAAAAACAGAUUUUUUUCCCCUCUAUUAAACAUUCAAUUCAAUGAGAAGUAGCCACCAAAACAUCUGCAUCAUAUUAAGGAGGCUAAUGUUCCCCAAGAAAUCCACAAACUUCUUCAACUAACAAAAGGUCUUGAAAGGCUUUACAACCAAACCAAUUUAACCAUUAAUUGGUUAAUACACAAAAUGUAAGAUCCUUGGAGAGUCCAUUGGAUUAUGAAAGCAUUCUGAUUAAGCACAGCAUGCAGUGUAGACAUGAAAGUAUCUGUACAUCAACGUAAGUUUUAGUGGAUUUACGACUAAAAAAAGAAAGAAAACUAUGCUUAAAAGUCACUACCACUUUAGAUCCUUCUCUUCUUUAUAUAUCAUUUUUCCCCCCCUGGAUUCUCUGAACUUAUGCCUAGUACUUCUUCCCUUUUUUUUUGCCACAUUUCAGUUCCUGAACAUAAAUCUCUUUGGGGUUGUAUGUUUGAUUGAUUUGUCCUAAGGUUUCCGCACUUCUAAUUCCUAAGAAGAUGGAGAAUUUUAAAAGUUCCAUGUCCUUCAUUUAGAUAAAACCAAUAUGAUAAUAACCACCACAAACAGUAAGAGGUUUUCACACAUUUCCAGAAAACAGUAAUCACCAGGUAAUUUUUAAGCAAAGAAUUCCUGCUAUCAAAAACCAAAAUCUCAUUGUACAAUGCUUUGAAAAUCAUAUAAAUAGAUGAUUUUGCAGCAUGGAUGAUGUGGCAAAAUGUAUCAAAUAAUCGCAAAAUACUGUUAAGUAGAGGGUGAAGUUUUAUUGAUCAAUAUUUGACCAGCUUCAUGUAUGAUGCAUUAGCAAAUGUUGGACAGUGAAGAAACAAGUAUCCAGAUCAGCAUGAAAUAAAUGACAAUUUAAGAUGGACGUGUAGCAGUGUGGUUAAAGGCGCAAAAAGGCGCCAGGCAAGGCGAUGCUGCCUCUCCUCGCCUUGAUUGACAGAGGCGAGUGCCUCUCUCGCCUAGGCGCCACGGCGAGAGAGGAGCUGCCUCUUUCAUUUUAAGCUCAUAUUUGCUUUUUUCUUUAGGGUUUCCUGUGUUCUAGCUCCAGCCAUGGCAUCUCACUCUCUCAGGUAAGUGUUCUAUGC
rnacentral:misc_RNA from 1 species